GACGAACGCUGGCGGCGUGCCUAAUACAUGCAAGUAGAACGCUGAAGGAGGAGCUUGCUUCUCUGGAUGAGUUGCGAACGGGUGAGUAACGCGUAGGUAACCUGCCUGGUAGCGGGGGAUAACUAUUGGAAACGAUAGCUAAUACCGCAUAAUAGUAGAUGUUGCAUGACAUUUGCCUAAAAGGUGCAAUUGCAUCCCUACCAGAUGGACCUGCGUUGUAUUAGCUAGUUGGUGGGGUAACGGCUCACCAAGGCGACGAUACAUAGCCGACCUGAGAGGGUGAUCGGCCACCCUGGGACUGGGACACGGCCCAGACUCCUACGGGAGGCAGCAGUAGGGAAUCUUCGGCAAUGGACGGAAGUCUGACCGAGCAACGCCGCGUGAGUGAAGAAGGGUGUCGGAUCGUAAAGCUCUGUUGUAAGAGAAGAACGAGGGUGAGAGUGGAAAGUUCACACUGUGACGGUAUCUUACCAGAAAGGGACGGCUAACUACGUG
rnacentral:rRNA from 1 species